UCUAUAUUGAUCCAUCUAUUGGGAUAUAUCUUCUAUUCAGAUACAUGGAUCUCUUUCCAUAUAUAG
rnacentral:tRNA from 1 species